UUGAUUGUUAUUGCCUCACUCAGAGCCAGAC
rnacentral:piRNA from 1 species